rnacentral:ribozyme from 12 species
AUCUAUGUUCUUUUUCCUUUUCCUUUUUUUGUUCCUUUCUUUUUUUCUUCUAUUUUUUCUUUCUUGUAUUUUUGUAUUUAAAAGAAAAAAAGAAAAUUAGAAAAAAAACAAUACAAAGAGAAAACAACCAACCUCCA